rnacentral:rRNA from 1 species
CACGGGGGUUGCGAGCGUUGUCCGGAAUUACUAGGCGUAAAGGGCAGGCAGGCGGAUCCAUAAGUUUAUCGUUUAAGGCGUCGGCUUAACCGGCGUAGGGCGGUAGAUACUGUGGAUCUGGAAUGCGGUUGGGGAAGACAGAACUCCUGGUGUAGCGGUGGAAUGCGCAGAGAUCAGGAGGAAUACCGAAGGCGAAGGCAGUCUUCCAAGCCGUUAUUGACGCUCAACUGCGAAGGUGUGGGUAUCAAACAGGAUUAGAUACCCGUGUAGUCCCUGA